rnacentral:rRNA from 1 species
GACGUAGGGCGCGAGCGUUGUCCGGAUUUAUUGGGCGUAAAGGGCGCGUAGGCGGCUGUACAAGUCAAAGGUGAAAUCCCUCGGCUCAACUGAGGAACUGCCUUUGAAACUGUACGGCUUGAGGCCGGGAGGGGGUAGCGGAAUUCCCAGUGUAGCGGUGAAAUGCGUAGAUACUGGGAGGAACACCAGUGGCGAAGGCGGCUACCUGGACCGGUUCUGACGCUGAGGCGCGAAAGCGUGGGUAGCAAACAGG